rnacentral:misc_RNA from 1 species
GGGAAAGCUCGAUGUGCAUGGGCUGAACAUUGUGAAUACAGAUAUGUAUUCGGGGAUGUUCACCUGGGACAGAGUUGCAGAUUGAAGAGUUCUACAUCUCACAUCCUGUCACACUAUGUGUGAUAUUUAAGAAACUUUGUUUGGCGGAACAACAAGUUUGCACAAACAUUUGAAGAAGAAGGCGAAAUGAUUCAGAGAGCAAAGACGGGGAUGUUCAUCUUGACAGCAUUACAUCCAACUUCAUUUGUGUAUCAUAAACUUGGAGAGCACCUGGAGGGAGCCCUCUGUAUAUCGAUGAAAUUUUGUAGAGUACUAAAAUUUAGCACCAGAAUAUGUUCCACUUUAGAAUGUAAUUUCAGGUAAGAGUCAAGAACCUCUGAU